AACAAACAUGAUGAAUAUGGAUAGACUAACCAAAGAGAAUCACUAUGGUAUUUCCAUUUCUGCGUAUGUCGAUUUCAAGUGGGUCCCUUUCAAAAACCAUCUAUUGACUAGUUUUAUUUGGAACCCAAAACGUCCUAUAAGAACAGCUGAUCAAGGGUGUUUACGAACCAGCGGCUUGCUAAAGUGGAUGUACCCCAACCAAAAGAAGGGGUAUCAAAGUGCCAAAUUUCUUCUGAUACUAUAGAACAGUAGAUACAGGGGUACCAAGAUGAGUGCGCCACUUUACUUACGGCGGCCAGGAUCUGUCCGUUCUUGCUGAUCUGCGCCUCCAGCUGCUUCUUGGCGUUGAUCAGCCGCUCCAGUCGCUCCUUGGUGGUGGC